rnacentral:rRNA from 1 species
GAUGAACGCUGGCGGCGUGCCUAAUACAUGCAAGUCGAGCGAACAGACGAGGAGCUUGCUCCUCUGACGUUAGCGGCGGACGGGUGAGUAACACGUGGAUAACCUACCUAUAAGACUGGGAUAACUUCGGGAAACCGGAGCUAAUACCGUAUAAUAUAUUGAACCGCGUGGUUCAAUAGUGAAAGACGGUUUUGCUGUCACUUAUAGAUGGAUCCGCGCCGCAUUAGCUAGUUGGUAAGGUAACGGAUUACCAAGGCGACGAUGCGUAGCCGACCUGAGAGGGUGAUCGGCCACACUGGAACUGAGACACGGCCCAGACUCCUACGGGAGGCAGCAGUAGGGAAUCUUCCGCAAUGGGCGAAAGCCUGACGGAGCAACGCCGCGUGAGUGAUGAAGGUCUUCGGAUCGUAAAACUCUGUUAUUAGGGAAGAACAAAUGUGUAAGUAACUAUGCACGUCUUGACGGUACCUAAUCAGAAAGCCACGGCUAACUACGUG